rnacentral:rRNA from 1 species
UACGGGAGGCAGCAGUGGGGAAUAUUGCACAAUGGGCGCAAGCCUGAUGCAGCCAUGCCGCGUGUAUGAAGAAGGCCUUCGGGUUGUAAAGUACUUUCAGUCGUGAGGAAGGUGUUAAGGUUAAUAACCUUAGCAAUUGACGUUAGCGACAGAAGAAGCACCGGCUAACUCCGUGCCAGCAGCCGCGGUAAUACGGAGGGUGCGAGCGUUAAUCGGAAUUACUGGGCGUAAAGGGCACGCAGGCGGUUAAUUAAGUUGGAUGUGAAAUCCCCGGGCUUAACCUGGGAAUGGCAUUCAAGACUGGUUAGCUAGAGUCUUGUAGAGGGGGUAGAAUUCCAUGUGUAGCGGUGAAAUGCGUAGAGAUGUGGAGGAAUACCGGUGGCGAAGGCGGCCCCUGGGACAAAGGACUGACGCUCAUGUGCGAAAGCGUGGGGAGCGAAACAGGGAUUAGAUAC